UGUCAUCUGGCAAAGUGACACGUGCAUUUCAUUUACUCUCCCUGUGGCUUUUAAACAUAAUUUUUGUACACAGGUGGAACCACAAGUGUUUGUUCCUUAUGGAAAAGGUAGCAUGGAGACUUCUUUAACACUGAGAACCUUAGAACUGAAUAGACACAAAAUCACAAGGAACUUUAAAUUGUAAUGUGAUUUCCUGACAUAGAAUCAGAAACCUUCACACACUUCUGUGAAGCCAGACAUCUUUGAAGGAUACAGAGGACACACAGCUAUCAAUAUAUAGGACACUUACUUGUCUUGGUUAAUAUGACUCUUUUUGACCUGUGUCAGCUCUUUGAAAGUCUGUCCAAAGUGAGCAGUGGGGUGAACAAUGGCGGCAGCAUCUUUAGGUAUCUGGAUCCAACCAUCAGGAGCUCUAAGCACUGACCCGCAAUGGCUGCCUGCCUCAGUUUGCACACCAGAUGGAUGCCAGUGCUGGUCUCUGUCAGGAAAGUACACAGAUUUCCUAAUGGUGCUUUCAACAUUAGUUCCUAUUAGAGUAUGUAACUGAAGAGGUAUCAGAGAUAACUCUUAUGUUUCUUUAACGUGAUAGAUGUUCCUCAUAUUUUUCUAAAUUUAGAAAUAUCUUGAACAUUGUGCCAUGUAAAGUAUUGAUUAUCGUUCAUGUGCAUGUUUUAACUUCUGCGAUUUAUUUAUUGACUUUUAAAGCUUCUAAUUUCAACACUAACUUCCAAACGGCAACAGAAGAAAAGUAAAACAACAUUAGUGGCAGAAGAAUAAUUUGGAUCAUGUGCGUUGGAAUAGAGGUACUGAACAGAACCACUCGAGUGGGAAGGGCCCAGGUCACCAUCAAGGAGACUAAAGCUGGGGUAGGAAGAGCAUGAGACGGUCUCAGAGGUAUUGGGCCUGUACUGGGAAGAUCUUUUCAGAUACCCCUGGAAUGCUCUGAACUCACAGGCGGGGGAUUUACAAGUGGGACUCUUUAUCCUGGUAGCUAGAUGUGGAAAUGGCACUUCCAAGUCCUAUUUGGGGAUGGCUUGCCCAGGGAGCUUGGCUCAGUGGAGUGUAGAAUGAAUGCCAACAUUAACAAUACUUCUGGUCCAAGUGCAAAUGUCUCCAUCAAGUUCUCAAAAAAUCCUUUUAUGGUCCAUCUGUUUGGACACACCCUGGUUCCAAACCUUGUUUUGCCUCAGGACCCACAUUCUUAGAAACUUGCUAGCUUGCUGAAGACUUGGCCUGCUUCUGCCUUCUGUUCUGCAACACUGACUGGAUGCUAAGAUUCAUUCUUUGGCUCUGUGACACUUGAGCCUUUGCAAAAUAUAUUAUGUUUAUUCACGCCCCCCUC
rnacentral:sRNA from 1 species